AUACGUAGGGUGCGAGCGUUGUCCGGAAUUACUGGGCGUAAAGAGCUCGUAGGUGGUUUGUCGCGUCGUCUGUGAAAUUCCGGGGCUUAACUCCGGGCGUGCAGGCGAUACGGGCAUAACUUGAGUACUGUAGGGGAGACUGGAAUUCCUGGUGUAGCGGUGAAAUGCGCAGAUAUCAGGAGGAACACCGGUGGCGAAGGCGGGGCUCUGGGCAGUAACUGACGCUGGGGAGCGAAGGCAUGGGUAGCGAACAGGAUUAGAUCCCCUGGUAGUCCAUGCCGUAAACGGUGGGCGCUAGGUGUAGGGGUCUUCCACGACUUCUGUGCCGUAGCUAACGCAUUAAGCGCCCCGCCUGGGGAGUACGGCCGCAAGGCUAAAACUCAAAGGAAUUGACGGGG
rnacentral:rRNA from 1 species